CCGCCGCGGUAAUACCAGCAGUUCAAGUGGCAUCCAUUUUUAUUGGGUCUAAAACAUCCGUAGCUUGUUAAAUAAGUCUCUUGUAAAAUCCUAUAUCUCAAGUAUAGGUCUGGCAAGAGAUACUAUUUAGCUAGAGACCGGUAGAUGUAAGGAGUACGCUCAAGGUAAUGGUAAAAUAUGUUAAUCUUGGGUGGACUAACAAUUGGCGAAGGCACCUUACAAGGACGGAUCUGACAGUGAGGGAUGAAGGCCAGGGGCGCAAAACGGAUUAGAUACCCGUGUAGUCCUGGCAGUAAACACUGCUCACUAAACAUCGGUCUCUCUUCGGGAGAAAUCGGUGCUGAAGCGAAGGCGCAGAGUGAGCUACCUGGGAAGUAUAGUCGCAAGAUCGAAACUUAAAGGAAUUGGCGGGGAGACACACAACGAGUGACGCGUGCGGUUCAAUUAGAUUCUACACCGUGAACCUCACCAGGAGCGACAGCAGAAUGAAGGUCAGUCUAAAGGGCUUACCUGACGCGCUGAGCGGAGAUGCAUGGCCGACAUCAGCCUGUGCUGUGAAGUGACCUGUUAAAUCAGGUAACAGGCGAGACCCGUGUGCAUAAUUACUACCGAAAGGAGAACUUUAUGCAGACUGCCGUGGUAACACGGAGGAAGGUGCGGGCUAUGUCAGGUGAGUACGUCCCUAACCCCCUGGGCUACACGCGCGCGGCAAUGGUAAACUCAACGAGAUGCGACUCCGAGAGGAGAAGCUAAUCUCUUAACGUUUAUCUCAGUACAGAUUGAGGGUUGCAACCCACCCUCAUGACGAUGGAAUUCGAAGUAAUCGUCUGUUAGCAACAAACGGUGAAAAAGCCCCGGUCUCUUGCACUCACCGC
rnacentral:rRNA from 1 species